GCCAGAGCAGGCCACCAGGGCUCACUGGAUCUGCUCGCAGCAACAUUGCAGAGCACACAUCAGCCUAGAAGACGGUGACCGUAAGUGUCCUUCAGCCGACCCACAGAUAGAUCUAUCUGCUCCAGGAAAAGCUGGGUGACAACCAAAAUGGCACCCCCUACAGCCCCAGCAUUGAUUGUCCCCCAGAGUCCUGAAAUCUGUCAGGGCCAUGCAAGGCAACUUUGACAUUCAGAAGCUUGGAAAAGCUGGGUGAAGAGCCCUGCGGGAGCGGUGACGAGGGAUUUCUGGGGAUCACCCAACUCUUCAAGAAUCGAACAAAAGUAAGCAGUGGCUAAAAGGACACAGAACUCAAGGACAGACUUCGUGCCCUAUAUAGAAACGAUGGCAGCAUCACAAGCAAUUGAGGGGGAAAAUGACACUUUUGGAAAAAAGAGAGGAAUUUCUGAAACGAGAUCAGUACUGACGGUGGGUCAGCGGGAAAAGAAGUCACGGAGACAUGCGCUACCUUGGUCCGUGAUGCUGACUAAACACGCUCAUUGAAGUCUAUGGGCCCGUGAAAAUCACAGACAAAACAUGGAUGUUUUUCACUCACCACUGAUAGGAGAUGCUCCGGAAACUUUCAGCUGAGCAAUGUCCGUGGAAUACAGAUGACACACGGAGGGCAAAAAACAGACACGCGGACAUUUUCUGGGAUGUAACAUGGAGUGAUUUUUUCAUGGACACAGAAAUGUUAAGGGGCCUGAUGGUUGUGCAUUCACUGUAGGUUACACCUAGCUCUAGGGAUCCGCAACCUCCAGCUGUUCUGAUACUACAACUCCCAGAAUCCUCCUUUCACUUCUAUGGGAAUUACAAGAACAGAUGAGCAAAUGUGCAUGCUGAGAGUUGUAGUUUCACAGUAGCUGGCGUGCCAAAGGUUGCUGAUCCCUGCAAUAUAACAUAAGUG